GGUCAUGCCCUAUUACAUGGCAAGCUUGAGGCUGGCAAAGGCUAUGCGAGACUGUGUGGAAAACAAAACAGCGGUACGAUGACCCGUUAGAGACGGUGCUUCUACUUGGCUGCCAGUCGAUCGGGCGCGGGCUGCAACAGGACUAGGACAGCGUGCUUUGAAAUGGCAGGCCACUGCCUCGGAGCAGGACCUAUCCUUUGGUCUAUGUAGCUCUACUAAAAGUCUGCCAUUCAAGAGCCCGAUGGUGAAGAUGUGUCUAAAAAUGUGGGAACUAUUAAAUCAGCAGAACGAAACAAUCCCUCCAGCAUGAGGCUAUGUGGCCAGACCAAGAUGCCCCCCAAAAGUAAAGUGGCCUUUACUACUAGAAAUCCACAAAGAAAAACUGGGGUGGCCUUUCAAAGAAUACCUAGUCAUCUUUUAAUGGCCUCCCUUUGACCUUGUCUUUCAAUGGCUGCUGAUAAUAAUUUAUAGGCCACAAACAUGCUGUAUCUACCAGAUUCAACACCAGUCCAUGCAGCAGCCAUGGCUGACAUGACAGACAGCAGCUGGCUUGUGAAUACCUGCUGUGUGGGAGGCAGGGUUCACUUCAUCUCAUAACCAGGGAUCAACGUUGGAACUAGCACCUCCUUAUCUGACAGAUUAAGAAAUUUGAGGCACAAAGAAGUUAAGGGAUGCUCUCAAGGUCACCCAGCCAGAAAAUGGCAGAGCAGGGAUUCAAGUGCAAGAGCAGGGAUUCAAAUGCAAGAGCACAGGAUCCAGAGACUCCACUCAACCUCCAGCACACUGCCAAAUAGCCUCGAGAUGAGUAUGAAGCGCCUGUCAGACGCAUGCACACAUUCAGUAGAAUAUACUCCAUUCUCCUCUCUUUGAAAAAAUGGCACUCUUAAAGCCUUAAGUGUUAGAAGAAAAAAGAGAAAGUGCUUAUAAAAUUGUAAGGACUCUGAUCAAUGGGAAAAUAAGAUCAAAACAAGUGGCAACUAGGCUGGAAGAGCAAGCAUUUGUAUGCAGCGCAGUGGCGGAAGGUUCAUUAUCAAGUAGGCGAAUAUAUAAAGAACUAAUUAUGACUUGAGUUUUAAAAAGUAUCAAAGGACCAAUAGAUAACCAGGCAAAGAACAAGAGUAAAGAAUCCACAUAAAAAAGAUAUGAUGAGGAUUCAUCAUCAACACAUGCAGAUGAAACAGUCCUUUUUACUAGUAAUUAUGUAAAAGCAAUUUGAAAAGAGAAUCAACUAUCAGCCUGUAGUUACUCAGUUAACAGAAUUAAACUAUCCGUGUUGACAAGGUUUCUGUCAUCAUCCUCUGCUAAUCUACUGCUCACAGAGAUAAUGGCUGGAAAAUAUAAACCAGCAAUAUCCUAUUGUGUAGUCAUAAAACCAUUGACACUCUGUGACUCAACAACAGGCUUUCUCAGCAUAAACUGAGAAUUCAAAUGAGGGGGGAAAGGUGAAGACACAAAAGUUCAUUACAGCCGAAGAGGAGGCACUCCCCAGCUCCUCCUUGGGAGACUGUCAGUCCCAAGAAAGCAGGAAUAGUGUUGUUGUUGUUGUUUUGUUUUGUCCUCGCCUUUUAUCCUCACCACUGAACUGUAUGUAACACAGUAGGACUGGAUCAAUACCUGUUUAAUCAAUACGUUGCCAAACAAAAGACUAAGCAUUCAUCAGUGAGCACCAGUGAAGGAGACUGUAUGGUAGCAUGUACAAAGUGUAUCAACCCAGUGUUAAGAUUAUUUUCAAGGUAGCACCCACACUGGAGAUGAUGUAACAGUCACAGCUGGUGGGUGGAGUCUGGGGGAACAUGAAGACAUUGUGAAGAAGAGGAAAGUCCUAGUCCAGAGAGAAGACUCAGCGGCUAAAAGUGCUUGCCACCAAGCCUGAUGACUUGAGUUCAAUCCCCAGGACCCACAUGGGGAAAGGAGACAAUUGUCUCUCUUAAACUUGUCCUCCGACCUCUGUAUGCAUGAUAUAACAUGCUUACCCCUAAACACACAAAUCAAUAAACAAAGGUAAAAAAGGAAUAAAUAAAAGACCCUGCCACAGAACUUGAGGUACACUUGUUGAUUUUAGGUUUUUUGUUUGUUUGUUUGUUUGUUUGUUUGGUUUUUUUUGCCUUUUAAGAUUAAAUAAUACUGGCUUUGAAAUAUACUUUUCCUUAAAACAAACCAGCGAAAUUGAAAGUCAGUUUAUCAGACUUAAUUGUAAAUGAUGGCUGAUAACCAAGAUUGUAUCUUUGGCAGAUCUGGAAGAAAUAAUAAUCAAUAGAUCAUGUUCACUAAGCAUACUUGACAUGGGAUUAGAGCUUUAUAACAAACACCUCAUUUAAUACUCCAUCCCCCGAGGGAAGGGCUAUAAUGACCCCAGUUCAUAGAUGAAAAAAUGGAGACCUGAGUGAGGGUUUAGUGAUUCAUCAUCUACAAGUAACUGAGUCGGAGAGAUGUGGGAGUCUUUAAUCCAGGCACAGAACUGUACUGAUGUAAUGCCUCUGAGAAAGAAAAGAAGGCUGAGGCAGAACUGAGUUUGCUCUGUGACCACACACUAGCCAGCCACUCACACAAGCAGGCAGCAACCUUCCCAUCCUUCAGUGUAGAAAAGAAUCUGAGAUCUUCACAUACCUCCAAUUAGGAAGCCAAAAGGAGAUGAGAAAAGAAAAGAUGUACCAUUGAGACACAGCUAGCAACUGUUGAAGACAAGAUCUCCUAAGAUUCCUGGGCAAACUUUUGAAAGGUGCUGGAAGAACCUACUGUGCUUCCAGAGGUAUUCCUGCCCCACAUAUAUAACCUUGAUGUAUUCACAAAGAAACAACAACAAAAAAACAGACUCAAAGAAAGAGAGGGUUGUUCUACAAACUAUCUAACCAGGACCCUUCAGAAGUUCAAAGUUAUGGAGACCCAGAAGGACUGAAGAACCAUCACAGAUUGGGGACUGGAAAGAAAGGAUCCUGCCUUGAGGAUGCCUGCACCCCGACUUACCUUGUUGAUAGAAUGUGACCUGGAUGUAUAUGGCAAAUAGACACUUCUCUACCCAAGCUACAUUUACAAGGUGUUUCUAUCAUGGCAACAGAAAGCUGAACAGAUAUCUUUACACUUCCUUUGAUGAAAGUUUUAUGUCCAAAGCUCUUCUAUCCAUAGACAUAUUGUAUUCCCCUGUUGGCUCCCUGAACAGAUCUGCUUGGGAGAACCUCCAUCAGCAGGUUCUAACCCAUGAGUUGAGGCCGUUGAGUAUGUAUCACAGCUGCAGUGCUGUGGCCUGUCCUUCAUAUAUCCUGUAUCAUUUUGACUGUUUCAGCCAGGUAAUUCAUCUGCUUAGGUGUGUAGCUAUAACUCAACGCCAAAAGAGAAAAGCAGACUCCGUCUCUGGAGGCUGCACAGAGGACUUUCACCAUUGGAAUUGGGUGCCAGUGUUGGAGGAGCACUAAAGGGUGAAUGGGAAAUAGGAGAUGACUCGGGGAUCAGUGCUUAGGAAGCAAAUGUCAUCCUUGGGGUACAAGAGGGAGGUACAAAAAGAUGGAUGUGAUACUGUCAGGGCUUCAUGGACCCAUGAGAGCUGAGACCAAAGAUGAGAGAGUUGCCUGGUGGGGGCUAGAACACUGAAGGGCUCCUGCCAGAAGCUGGGGGAAAGAGAAGAUAAAACCCAGGAGGUAAACCUGGGCCUCUCCCUUCCUCCCAUGAGGCAAUCUUCUAACAGUGCCUCCAGGAGGCAGGCUUUCUCCUGAAUGCCCUGAACAAAGGAGACUGGGCGCUGUAGUUCCUGGAGGCUGGCCUCUACCCAGAGACCAGGGGCCUAGGAGCCCCUCUGUGGGCAGGAAGACAAAGGGUAAGCCAGGGAACUGCAACAUAACAGCAGUCUCCUUAGAGAUGUCUUGGUUUGGAAGAAGUUGUUGGUUUGCAGGACGUACACAGCAGGAGGCUGACAGCAGUUUAGCUGUGACCUUAAUAGCAGACAUUUUUCACUUUCUUCCCUAAUUGUUUAGAAAUAUCACACUCCAUAUCAAACUGUUAGAUGGUCGCUGUUAGUAAAGAUUAAAACCUCCCCAACACCCCUGUUUAGCACCUGUUUUGCUAUACAUACCAAAUGAAGGAGCAUCGAUUUGAAAAACAGAGAAAUUAUAGUAUCGCCAAACACAAUUAACGCCCAAGUAUCUUCCAGCCAGGUCCUAGGAGGGAAAGGGGAGAGAAAGUUAAUUCACUAAUAUCUCAGCCUAGUGACUAAUUUCGCCUCUGUAAAACUCAAUUCAUUAUCUUUAACCUCAGAGCUUGUACUGAGAGAAGAAUAGAAUACAUUACUUACUGGCCGCUCCUCGCAGAUGUGUGCUAAAUUUGUCUGUGACACUUCAAUUCCAGUUUCUGCUGCUAAAACAUAAUACAGCAAAGCUUCGUGCCUAAAAAUAGAUGAUUAAUAAUAAAUUUCAUAUAGUGGCUCUUACUAAUACUCAGAGAGCUUUAUAUUCAAACAUAAGAGGGCACAAAAAUAAGCAGGUUUUUAAAACCACAAAAUCAUGAGGUUUUUUCCCCCCCUCCCUUAAAUAAAUACUGUUGUUAAAAAUA